GUAUGUAAUUUGCCCAUAACUGGGGGAUAGCCUUCCGAAAGGAAGAUUAAUACCCCAUAACCCAACGAGGUGGCAUCACUUUUUUGGUAAAACUCCGGUGGUUAUGGAUAAGCAUGCGUCUGAUUAGCUAGUUGGCGAGGUAACGGCUCACCAAGGCAACGAUCAGUAGGGGGUCUGAGAGGAUGAUCCCCCACACGGGUACUGAGACACGGACCCGACUCCUACGGGAGGCAGCAGUAAGGAAUAUUGGACAAUGGAGGCAACUCUGAUCCAGCCAUGCCGCGUGAAGGAUGAAGGCGCUACGCGUUGUAAACUUCUUUUCUACCAGAAAAAACUCUUGGUUUCGGUACCAAGACUGAUUGUACGGUAGGAAUAAGCAUCGGCUAACUUCGUGCCAGCAGCCGCGGUAAUACGAAGGAUGCAAGCGUUAUCCGGAUUCACUGGGUUUAAAGGGUGUGCAGGUGGGGUAAUAAGUCAGUGGUGAAAGCCCCCGACUCAAUCGGGGAACUGCCAUAGAUACUGUUAUUCUUGAGUGUGGUUGAGGUGGGCGGAAUAUGACAUGUAGCGGUGAAAUGCGUAGAUAUGUCAUAGAACACCGAUCGCGAAGGCAGCUCGCCAAACCAUUACUGACGCUGAGGUGCGAAAGCGUGGGGGGCAAACAGGAUUAGAUACCCUGGUAGUCCACGCCCUAAACGAUGUCGACUAGCCGUUGGACUCAAUAUAAGGGUUUAGUGGCGCAGCUAACGCGUUAAGUCGACCGCCUGGGGAGUACGGCCGCAAGGUUAAAACUCAAAGGAAUUGACGGGGGCCCGCACAAGCGGUGGAGCAUGUGGUUUAAUUCGAUGCAACGCGAAAAACCUUACCUGGGUUUGACAUCCCCUGACAGGUGUAGAGAUACGCUUUUCUCUUCGGAGACAGGGAGUACAGGUGCUGCAUGGCUGUCGUCAGCUCGUAUCGUGAGAUGUCGGGUUAAGUCCCUUAACGAGCGCAACCCCUAUCCCUAGUUGCCACCAUUCAGUUGGGCACUCUAUGGAGACUGCCGGUGUUAAACCGGAGGAAGGCGGGGAUGACGUCAAGUCCUCAUGGCCCCUAUGUCCAGGGCUACACACGUGCUACAAUGGCCGGUACAAAGGGUUGCCAACCCGCAAGGGGGAGCUAAUCUCAGAAAGCCGGUCUCAGUUCGGAUUGGGUCUGCAACUCGACUCCAUGAAGCCCGAAUCG
rnacentral:rRNA from 1 species